rfam:Triticum aestivum genome assembly, contig: Triticum_aestivum_CS42_TGACv1_scaffold_129400_2BL
GAGAGCACAGUACGAUGAAAGUUGUAAGCUGUGUUCGGGGGGGGGGGAGUUAUUAUCUAUCGUUGGCCUCUAUGGUAGAACCCGUCGGGGAGGCCUGAGAGGCGGUGGUUUACCCUAU